GCCGCACUGAGGGCUUAGUACGACCACCUUAGGCCGUACCUCGCCGCCACCUCUCAAGAGCCGCCUACAGCACCACCGCCAUUCGACUUGGCAUUUGUCAAUCUCCAGAUUGAGCAUGCUCCACAGCCUUCUCCACAGACUCCACAUCAAUCCGGCCGUGGCUCGAACGACCCUUCUUCACACGCAAGCCUUGCUGGAGGCAACCCUUCUGGCCAGUCACCUACUCCUA